rnacentral:rRNA from 1 species
AGCGAACGCUGGCGGCAGGCCUAACACAUGCAAGUCGAACGGACCCUUCGGGGUUAGUGGCGGACGGGUGAGUAACACGUGGGAACGUGCCCUUUGGUUCGGAAUAGCUCCUGGAAACGGGUGGUAAUGCCGAAUGUGCCCUUCGGGGGAAAGAUUUAUCGCCAUUGGAGCGGCCCGCGUCUGAUUAGCUAGUUGGUAGUGUAACGGACUACCAAGGCGACGAUCAGUAGCUGGUCUGAGAGGAUGAUCAGCCACAUUGGGACUGAGACACGGCCCAAACUCCUACGGGAGGCAGCAGUGGGGAAUCUUGCGCAAUGGGCGAAAGCCUGACGCAGCCAUGCCGCGUGAAUGAUGAAGGUCUUAGGAUUGUAAAAUUCUUUCCCCGGGGACGAUAAUGACGGUACCCGGAGAAGAAGCCCCGGCUAACUUCGUGCCAGCCGCCGCCGUAACAC